UACGGAGGGGGCUAGCGUUGUUCGGAAUUACUGGGCGUAAAGCGCUCGUAGGCGGCUUUGUAAGUUAGAGGUGAAAGCCCGGGGCUUAACUCCGGAACUGCCUUUAAGACUGCAUCGCUAGAAUCGUGGAGAGGUGAGUGGAAUUCCGAGUGUAGAGGUGAAAUUCGUAGAUAUUCGGAAGAACACCAGUGGCGAAGGCGACUCACUGGAAACGUAUUGACGCUGAGGUGCGAAAGCGUGGGGAGCAAACAGG
rnacentral:rRNA from 1 species